AGGUCUUUCAUUGAAAAAUUCUUAUUCAAGUAUCCUUUUAUGCUAUCCUGAAAUUCUAUAUCAUUUCCGAUCAACAAUAUGUCAUCCACAUAUAAUAUCAGAAAUGCUACAGAGCUCCCACUCACGUUCUUGUAAAUACAGGCUUCUCCAAAGAAUUGUAUAAAACCACAUGCUUUGAUCACACUAUCAAAGCGUAUAUUCCAUCUCCGAGAGGCUUGCACCAGUCCAUAAAUGGAUCGCUGGAGCUUGCACACUUUGUUAGCACCUUUUGGAUCGAAAAAGCCUUCUAGAGUACGGUAGGGGCAGAGGGAAUUUCCGGUGGAGCGGUGAAAUGCAUUGAGAUCGGAAAGAACACCAACGGCAAAAGCACUCUGCUGGGCCGACACUGACACUGAGAGACGAAAGCUAGGGGAACAAAUGGGAUUAGAGACCCCAGUAGUCCUAGCCGUAAACGGACGGAGACGU
rnacentral:rRNA from 2 species